rnacentral:rRNA from 1 species
GACGAACGCUGGCGGCGUGCUUAACACAUGCAAGUCGAACGGAAAGGCCCUGCUUUUGUGGGGUGCUCGAGUGGCGAACGGGUGAGUAACACGUGAGUAACCUGCCCUUGACUUUGGGAUAACUUCAGGAAACUGGGGCUAAUACCGGAUAGGAGCUCUUGCUGCAUGGUGGGGGUUGGAAAGUUUCGGCGGUUGGGGAUGGACUCGCGGCUUAUCAGCUUGUUGGUGGGGUAGUGGCUUACCAAGGCUUUGACGGGUAGCCGGCCUGAGAGGGUGACCGGCCACAUUGGGACUGAGAUACGGCCCAGACUCCUACGGGAGGCAGCAGUGGGGAAUAUUGCACAAUGGGCGGAAGCCUGAUGCAGCAACGCCGCGUGCGGGAUGACGGCCUUCGGGUUGUAAACCGCUUUCGCCUGUGACGAAGCGUGAGUGACGGUAAUGGGUAAAGAAGCACCGGCUAACUACGUGCCAGCAGCCGCGGUGAUACGUAGGGUGCGAGCGUUGUCCGGAUUUAUUGGGCGUAAAGGGCUCGUAGGUGGUUGAUCGCGUCGGAAGUGUAAUCUUGGGGCUUAACCCUGAGCGUGCUUUCGAUACGGGUUGACUUGAGGAAGGUAGGGGAGAAUGGAAUUCCUGGUGGAGCGGUGGAAUGCGCAGAUAUCAGGAGGAACACCAGUGGCGAAGGCGGUUCUCUGGGCCUUUCCUGACGCUGAGGAGCGAAAGCGUGGGGAGCGAACAGGCUUAGAUACCCUGGUAGUCCACGCUGUAAACGGUGGGUACUAGGUGUGGGGUCCAUUCCACGGGUUCCGUGCCGUAGCUAACGCUUUAAGUACCCCGCCUGGGGAGUACGGCCGCAAGGCUAAAACUCAAAGGAAUUGACGGGGCCCCGCACAAGCGGCGGAGCAUGCGGAUUAAUUCGAUGCAACGCGUAGAACCUUACCUGGGUUUGACAUGGAUCGGGAGUGCUCAGAGAUGGGUGUGCCUCUUUUGGGGUCGGUUCACAGGUGGUGCAUGCCUGUCGUCAGCUCGUGUCGUGAGAUGUUGGGUUAAGUCCCGCAACGAGCGCAACCCUUGUUCACUGUUGCCAGCACGUUAUGGUGGGGACUCAGUGGAGGCCGCCGGGGUCAACUCGGAGGAAGGUGGGGAUGACGUCAAGUCAUCAUGCCCCUUAUGUCCAGGGCUUCACGCAUGCUACAAUGGCUGGUACAGAGAGUGGCGAGCCUGUGAGGGUGAGCGAAUCUCGGAAAGCCGGUCUCAGUUCGGAUUGGGGUCUGCAACUCGACCUCAUGAAGUCGGAGUCGCUAGUAAUCGCAGAUCAGCAACGCUGCGGUGAAUAAGUUCCCGGGGCU